AGAGGAUGCAGCAAUAAAGCGCCAUCUUGGAAGCAGAGACUGGGCUCUCACCAGACACAAAAUCUUCAUCUUGGACUUCCCAGCCUCCAGAACUGAAGUUUCCGAGAUUGAAGAAGAAGGGAGAGAGGACUACAGGCAUCGCAGGGCCAACAGCAUUAAGUGCUACAAAGAGAGCCCCUGCUGAGAGGGCCCCUCGGCUCCUCCCCAAGAUCCCGACAGGAAGGGGCUGCCUUUUGUCACAAUUUGACUGACUGUUCCAGGUCAAUUGAGGGUGAAUCCUCAAACCAGCAGGCUUUAAGGAGCACCUUAGGGUUCAGAGCAGACCUUUUUCUUUUUCUGCCGGUGUGUAGCAGAUCUCCUUCUGCAGCCUUGGCUGUGAUCUCUGCUCCUCUCCCUCUCUGCCUUGGCUAUCUGCCUGCUCUCCUGCUGUCCUCAUCUGUAGGAGCUGCACAGCUCAGCAAGAAACUGUUCUUACUGUUCCCAUCACAGCACUGGAAGAAAAAGAAUACUGAGAUAGUUGCCUAAAAAGCAGAAGAAGCUCCUGUCACAGGGCCAAAUGCUCUCGUUUAAGGAAUUCUGAUUUUACAAAAGGAAAUCCCCCAACCCCUCAACUAAAAGUUAAAGAUGAAAAGGCAUUAUGUCUUAAAACAGACAGUUUUGUGGUUAUUUCACUGCAGUCAAAAACAGAACUCUGGCAAAACAGCAUGGAAUGGGAAGUGGACAUAGCUUUCUGCCUAAACACACACCCUGCAACAUAGUGAAUCACUCUGCCUGAUCCUUCAGCCAUUCUCCUUGGACCAAGCUUACACCUUCUGACUGUCUCCUCCUGUAAAGUGAGUCCUCAUCUUAGGAAUCAUCCAUUAGAGAGAUUUGCUUUGUUUCUCUUUCAAAUACCUCAGGACAGGUCUGAAUUUCUAAUAGGCAUUUUGCAUUUUUUACUUAGGAUCAUUACUUUUCUUUACAUUCCUUUUGAAAGUCUUUUUGUUACUGUUAAUAGAUCAGAGACAGAAAAAUUUUCUUAGAAAAAUCUAAGAAAUAAGUUUGCUUCAAGAAUCUCUAAAAUGAAGAGAUUUUAUAUGAAGAUGACUAGAUGACCAGAAUUAUCCAUAUUUUUGGACAAUAUUACUGUUUCCUCCACCAUCUGCUCCUUCCCUUCUCCUGUAAAGAAGAGAGCCUUUAAAUAAGUAAAAAUAUCAUACUGUUUCCCCUCAUUGAGGGCCCAUAAUCCAGUCAAUUUGUAACGCACCUGUGUUUAUUCCCCUCUAAUUGAAGAUGGUGUCCUCUGUAUUUUUUACUGUGCCCAAUGCAAAAACUCAUGUGACUAAUUAUGUUCAUAACUAAAAAUACUUUUCUCUUUUGUUGAACUGAUGAGCUUCCUUGAAUUAGAAACUAAACCCCAUCUAAUUCUUUCUGCUUAUAUUCGUUUGACUUCCAGGAUGUUUAUUUAUAAUAUUCAUGCUUAAUUAUAGUGCUAUAUUUAUUUUCAAUUUUCUGAUAUAAUUGUUUUAAGUAAUUAGGUCCUACCUAAUUAUUAUUUAUUGCCUAUUGUUUUGUUU